CCUACGGGAGGCUGCAGUGAGGAAUAUUGGUCGAUGGACGAGAGUCUGAACCAGCCAAGUAGCGUGAAGGAUGACUGCCCUAUGGGUUGUAAACUUCUUUUAUAUGGGAAUAAAAUGUUCCACGUGUGGGAUUUUGUAUGUACCAUAUGAAUAAGGAUCGGCUAACUCCGUGCCAGCAGCCGCGGUAAUACGGAGGAUCCGAGCGUUAUCCGGAUUUAUUGGGUUUAAAGGGAGCGUAGGUGGAUUGUUAAGUCAGUUGUGAAAGUUUGCGGCUCAACCGUAAAAUUGCAGUUGAAACUGGCAGUCUUGAGUACAGUAGAGGUGGGCGGAAUUCGUGGUGUAGCGGUGAAAUGCUUAGAUAUCACGAAGAACUCCGAUUGCGAAGGCAGUUCACUGGACUGCAACUGACACUGAGGCUCGAAAGUGUGGGUAUCAAACAGGAUUAGAUACCCUUGUAGUC
rnacentral:rRNA from 1 species